UAAGUGAAGAGUUUGAUCCUGGCUCAGAGUGAACGCUGGCGGUAGGCCUAACACAUGCAAGUCGAACGGCAGCACAGGAGAGCUUGCUCUCUGGGUGGCGAGUGGCGGACGGGUGAGGAAUACAUCGGAAUCUACUUUUUCGUGGGGGAUAACGUAGGGAAACUUACGCUAAUACCGCAUACGACCUACGGGUGAAAGCAGGGGAUCUUCGGACCUUGCGCGAUUGAAUGAGCCGAUGUCGGAUUAGCUAGUUGGCGGGGUAAAGGCCCACCAAGGCGACGAUCCGUAGCUGGUCUGAGAGGAUGAUCAGCCACACUGGAACUGAGACACGGUCCAGACUCCUACGGGAGGCAGCAGUGGGGAAUAUUGGACAAUGGGCGCAAGCCUGAUCCAGCCAUACCGCGUGGGUGAAGAAGGCCUUCGGGUUGUAAAGCCCUUUUGUUGGGAAAGAAAUCCAGCUGGCUAAUACCCGGUUGGGAUGACGGUACCCAAAGAAUAAGCACCGGCUAACUUCGUGCCAGCAGCCGCGGUAAUACGAAGGGUGCAAGCGUUACUCGGAAUUACUGGGCGUAAAGCGUGCGUAGGUGGUCGUUUAAGUCCGUUGUGAAAGCCCUGGGCUCAACCUGGGAACUGCAGUGGAUACUGGGCGACUAGAGUGUGGUAGAGGGUAGCGGAAUUCC
rnacentral:rRNA from 1 species